GGAAGAUAGGACAUCUUAUGCCUGAGUUACAACAACUUCUAUUCCCAUGGCGAGACAUCAAACUUUGUCACGGCGCCAUGGCCACACCCUUUAAUGAAACCUCAAGAUGUUCACAAUUUAACAUCGCAAAGGCCUUUAGAUUAGACUGACCAAAAAAAAUUAUAAAAUGUCAUAAAAUAUCUAGGAGUAGUUUGUUACGGCGUAAAACAUGUCACUUCCUGUUGCCAGCAGGUGGCGCUAUAGCGAUAUCUGAAUAUUGGCAUGUAGAUAUAUUCAGGUCAGGAGUCUCCUCAAACAUGUGAAGUUUGAGGCAGAUUGGAUAUUGUAUGUCUGAGUUAUAGCAACUUCCUUUCUCAUGGCGAAACAUUGAAAUUUGUAAGGCCGCCACAGACACGCCCUUAAACGAAACCUCAAGAUCUUCGCAAUUUAACAUCGCAAAGGCCUUUAGAUUACACUGACAAAGUUUGGUGUUGAUCUGAAUAAAUCUCUAGGAGGAGUUCGUUAAAGUACAACCCCUGAAAAUGGCAAAAACGACACAAAUUUUGCAGAGAAAAUUCAAAAUAACUGACUUCCUGUUGGGAUUCGAAUUUCGUACAAAGAGACUUUUUUGUAGGUAUUGGUGUGUUACAUGUGUGUACCGAUUUUUGUACAUGUACGUGAAACGUAGCUCGAGGCGCACUCCGUUGAAAAUGUAUAGGUGGCGCUAUCGAGGCAUUUUGCCACACCCAAUGGAAUAUUGGCCUUCAGAUGUGUUCAGGUCAGGACUCUUAUCGAACAUGUGAAGUUUGUGCAAGAUCGGACAUUUUAUGCCUGAGUUACAAUAACUUUUAUUCCCAUGGCGAGACAUCGAAUUUUGUGACGGCGCCAUGGACACGCCCUUUAACGAAACCUCAAGAUCUUCACAAUUUAACAUCGCACAGGCCUUUAGAAUAGAGUGACUGAAAAAAAUAAAUUUAUGUCAUAAAAUUUCUCGGGGUAGAUUGUUACAGUGUAAAAUAUGUCACUUCCUGUUGCCAGUAGGUGGCGCUAUGACUAUAACUGAAUAUGGGCAUAUCAAUCUGUUCAGGUCAGGAGUCUUAUCAAACAUGUGAAGUUUGGGGCAGAUUGGACAUUGUAUGUCUGAGUUAUAGCAACUUCAUUUUUC
ensembl:lncRNA